UAGGGAAUAUUGGACAAUGGGCGCAAGCCUGAUCCAGCAAUGCCGCGUGAGUGAGGAAGGCCUUAGGGUUGUAAAGCUCUUUCGCGCGCGACGAUGAUGACGGUAGCGCGAGAAGAAGCCCCGGCUAACUUCGUGCCAGCAGCCGCGGUAAUACGAAGGGGGCGAGCGUUGUUCGGAAUUACUGGGCGUAAAGGGCGCGUAGGCGGCCCACUUUGUCAGGCGUGAAAGCCCCGGGCUCAACCUGGGAAUUGCGCUUGGGACGGGUGGGCUUGAGUUCGGGAGAGGAGAGUGGAAUUCCCAGUGUAGAGGUGAAAUUCGUAGAUAUUGGGAAGAACACCGGUGGCGAAGGCGGCUCUCUGGACCGAUACUGACGCUGAGGCGCGAAAGCGUGGGGAGCAAACAGGAUUAGAUACCCCUGUAGUCC
rnacentral:rRNA from 1 species